UCGGGCGCCCCACAGCUGCGCUGGUGCGCGCUCAGGCUGACUUGCAGCUGGAAGCUCUUCCCACACGUGGCGCAGGGCAGCCCCAGCACAGGGUCCUGGCUGGGGAAGGAGCUGCCCUGGCUUUCCCAGGCUCCUUCCUGGGCAGGACUAGGGAAGAACCGUGUGGCUUGGCCUGGUCCAAACAGGGUCCCGUGAGCCUCUAGGGAGAAGCCACAGUUUCCUAAGCUGGGGAGGAGGUAUAUCCUUCAAGAGAUAGGCUUGUUAGAAUAGACCACUUAACACCAUAUGAAAAAGCAACAGACUGAAACAUGGAUGUCCUCAAGAAGGGCUGCUGACACCUAUGAUUUGGCAAGGAGAUAAAUAACAGAAUGUGCAAAGGGUCAUAAGAGUGCAGACACCCUAAUGUCUGUUGGCUGGAAGGUCAGAGCAGUUCACCAGUGAAAAUGGGAUGCCUGGACCGAGGUCUUGAAGGACUGGAAAACUGCUGGAAUCAGGACACCAGACGGAAUUGAAGGGACGGCAGGAGGCGGCCAGGGAGUGGUGUGCUGGAGAUGGAGAUGGGUUCAGCACUGUCCUUGACGCCUAGAAGAUUCUUAAAAAUGCAUCUGUAGAGCUAAACUGUCAAUGUCCCGAUGACGACUGGCAAAGCGGCCAGCCCGGAACAUGCUUCUGCCCUUAGGAAAGUGCAAAUCUGACUGAGAUGAGAUGACGAACAUGGGGGAUGCAUUUAAUUUCACACAAGUGGCGCACAGGAGGGCCUCUGCGGACCACCACCUUUCUCAGUGUCAGACGAAAGGGAAAACCAAGGCAGGUGGGACGGUCAAGGGCGGGUCUUCUGGAGGAAUCAGGGGUCGAGC
rnacentral:lncRNA from 10 species